GCGGGGUCCCGUGUAUGGCGGAGGAAGCUGCAAUACUCGGAGAGCGUGCGGGGGAAGGAGCGACACAGGUAUUAAAACACAGUUGAUGCUGAUGCAGUGCCUCAGUGUCAGAGGCUAAGGUGAGAGUCCAGCUGCUUCUGAGGACAUUAUCUGCUGCUAUCAAGAUAUUCAGACUGGGCUCCCUGGAGAACUGCGUCUUCCUAGAUGCAAUGCCAACACCCCUCUGAUCAACCUGCACAGUGCAUCAUGGGAGUCUCGUGGCUACAGAUGCAUCAUGGGAGGUAUAGUAGGGCCAGGGGGCUCUGCCCACAGGUGAGAAUGUGGGCAUCAGACUCCCAAACUACAACUCUCAAGAGAUUCAGAAACCGUGGAACAGAGAGAGUAAGUGGUUUACCGGCAUUCACAAAGCAAGUUUACAGAAGAGCUGACACUAGAACUUAACCCUCCUGACCACUCAUUCUAUGCUUAGCACUAAAGUGGUGUCCAACUUGAGACCCUAGCGUUUGCAGAAGUUCUCAGCACUCACAGCUGCACUUGAAGUCAUUGGGAGCUGUGUCUUGAACAUAUAAAGUGCUCUUUAAUGAAGUCUAAAGAUUAUGUAUCAGGGAAUGCUGGUCAGGAAUGAGGUGCAUUGGCAAUCCUGCCUGAGCAAAUGAGAACAGCUUCUACCCACACAGGCUGCUGGUGGAUCCUCUUGGAAGUAAGUUACACAACAGGAAAACAUGCCUGUAGGAAGAGAAUUGUUUUGACACCAUUAGCUGGGCAGACAGAAGAACAUGUGAAAAACGAACUCAGGAUAGAACUCUCUUCUCAUCCAUGGUGAGCCAGGGAGACUGUAUUACCAGAUGGUAACCGUGGGUAUACUUUGCAGCGUCAUCCUGCAUGAUGUGUGCAAAUGCUGAAUAGGACACCAUAUUGAGGCACCUGACAAAUGGAUCCACAAUGCUACUUUUGUAAAAAGAAGAUUAAAAACAACAACAGCAACAAAACAGUUAUUAUGUUCAAUACUAAGGGUCAAAUUUCUACUGUCAGUGUUGCAAAGCUCAGACAAGGAACUGAAUGCAAACAUUUUAGGGGCUGAACUGCGUAGUUGGGAAUCUAAAGAAUUUUCUGAACGCUCCAAAUAGCUUUUUAGACCAGAUUCAUGUUGGGGCUAAUGGAUUCCCAAAAGGGAGCAUGGUUUGCCAGAGAUGAGCAUUUUAAGUACAGUAUGUUUAUGUCCUAGGUGAUGGUGAGCUCCUUAAAUCAAGCUCUGAGGCUUAAGUGAGGAGAAUAACUAUGAAUUUUAAUGAUCAUGUCUUCACUGCUUAUGUAUGCUAGGAGGAUACUCGGACUCAACUACUAAUACAGUGCCCCAGCAUGCACUGGGGUAAAAUUCAGAGUGUAUUCUUUGUGGGGAAGACUCUUUGGUUGUUUUCAAGUCUUGAUUGUAAAUCUGGAGGCAAAAAUCUGAGAACAUUACAUCAUUACAUUGGUUUCUUCCAUCAUGGCACUGGCUAGUUCAUGUGAAACUUAACUUAUAUUUUUCUAUCAUAAAAUGUGCCUAUUGCAACCUCUACGCAUAAUUAUAGGAACAGAAUUAUUCUUCCAUUUUGGGGAAUGGUAUUUAGCUGAAUACCACAUAUUUUUACAGAUCUCAAAUGUGACGGUCCCCAAGCAAACAUUUGCAUGGAAGAACAUUAUGGAUGUAGAACAAUAUCUGGAUUUCAGUUCUAUAGGACUUUUUUUCUUUUUUUGGCAGAGUGACACAUUCCUGUCUGUUCAAGCUAUGAAAUGUACUCCACUCCCAUACAGACCAGGUAAUUGGUCUCUGUGGGCAAAAUGCUGAGAAGGAAGGAUAUGAUCUAUUAAAUGCAUCCUCUAACUGAUGUCCAGGGGUCUCCUCCCCUGACUUUAUACAGCCUCUCCCCCAACCCAUGCACUUGUGUAGUGUGUGCGGGCCAUAACUUUGCAUAAGUAUGGAUGGCUCUUCCCUGGCCUCUUUUUAAUUGUUCUCCUGUAUACUAGCCUAUGUGAGGCCAGUGGAGGAGCAUUCCACAAUGCAAUGAGAGCACUGAGAGACACCCUUGAGCAACUGCUCCAUCCUGGCUCUCCACGUCAGCUCCUCAAACAGCUCUAAGUCAGCAUUUAGGUGGUGCAAAAGGCCUUGUGUUGGCCCUCUCUUUGUGAGCAAAAUUCAGUGAGGUGAGAUGAGCCUUGCCAACCCUUCUGUUAUGACCAAUAAUCUCUCACAGCAAUUCCUGGGUUGGAAUUUUCACAAAUGUUUGGCCAGUUCUUGGUUUAAGUGGCCACAUCAUCUUAGUGGGUUGGAAACUGAGUGGAAUGUAAUGACGGAUCACACGGAAUGGUUUUGUGCUGCAGGUGGAGGCUACCUCUAGGUUUUCAGUCAGAAGAGACUUGACAGUGAUUAACUCUGUUGAUAUCCAUUUGAAUUCUUCCUGUAAGGAAGUCUGCUCUGCAGCAGGGCUUGAGGAAGAAGGCGACUGAAAUAUACUAGAAUAGCACAACAUAAUGUGGUGGUUUUUUUGGUUAACAUCAAAGCUAUUUACAGUGUAUCUUGCGAGUUUAUGCAUAUUGUUGCUCUCAUGGGUUUGGCCACUAAUUAGCACAAACCACUUUUUGGAAGAGGAUUAAAAAAAGAGCAUGUAUCCCUUUUUUAAGGUUAUAAUGAUAAGAAAAAUGAGGCUUACUUAUGCCCCUUUCAAAUAAGACCUUGUGGAAGCACUAUAAUAAGUCAUUUGUUCUCUUUAAAUAUAGUUUAGCUUCACACAGGCACACACACACUCAGAUGGUUUCCACUUGAAAUUCCUCAUCAAAUCCAAAUAGCUGCCAGCCUUGUCUGCUGAACUGUGAAGGAGCUCCCUCCCCCACCUCUCCUUAUAGACACAGAAGUGUGCAGUAUGCCUGUGGCAUUCAGUGCCUGCAGAGUGUGAGACUGCAAACUUUUAUUUUAGGGAGUACACCAUGCUAAACUCUGUCCCUGCAUCUGCUCUCUCUAAAGAGGAGAAGAAGCAGAACAGUGUUUAGAGGGCUUUGGAUUCUUUCUUUAUUAUAUGCUCUAGCUUCCUCAUUUUAAGCUUGAAGUUUACAAGCCUACAAGGAAGAGUUGCUUAGCAUUUGAAACUGACAGUCAGGUCCAUUUAGUCCAGAGGGGAAACAGAAGUGAAUAGUCCCAUUAAGCUGUAUAUAUCCUUACUACUCAAUGUGUAUAAACUAAUGUGCUGUAUUGUUUAUAAAUCUUUAAUAGAGUGUUUUAAACAAAUAACUUUUUUUUCUUUUAGAGUAGAAAGGGCUUAUGUAAAAUUCAGGGUCAGAUGGAUACAAGAAGCCUGUUAGGUUAGUGUGUACUGCAAAUCCAGAUAAUCACAGCACGAUAUAUUGUACCUACUUUCAUAUUCCAUCAGCAAUAUGUUCUGGAGUUGUGUGUGUGUGUGUGUAUCAACCAGGGUCAUCUUGAUAAUCUGAUUAUUGUGAGAUGCAGAAUUUAGCACCAGGGAUUGUUUGUUUGUUUUGUUGGAAGAUAUUUACCUUGUUUAAUAUUUUAACAUGAUUAUUGUCUUCAUGGGCCCAAACUAUCAUGUGCAUGUCAAAGAACAAAUAAAAAGGCAGGAGUUUGCAGUCUAAAUUUAGACAUGAUGUGUUGAGUGAGGAUAACAAAUAGAAUUGGAGUGAUAGGGUAAGGAAGGACAAAGGUUGCAGAUUAUGUGAUUAUUCAGUCUAAGCGUAUGCACUGUUCACUAAUACUUUCCUACUUUCCCAUUCCCUACUGCAGCCAGAUACUGCAUGAGGGAGGCCAAAGAUUAGUUCUCAGGGGCACGGACCAUCUUUGUGGUAUCUGUUUUUACAGUGUUUAAUAUAAUGGGACUCUAAUCCCUGUUUGAGGUUCCUAACCACCAGCACAAUACAAAUAAUCCAUAAAGCAUAGUACACAUAAUAUCCCUCAGCCCAAUUCUUCUCAGAGUGCACAGUCUCUUUGUGUCAGGCAGACACUGAUAGGGCUCCUUGCAAAUGUAUCAGAGGUAGCAAAGUAAUCUCUUCAUCUGGAGCCAUGAAUCUAUGUACCUGACUUCCUGAGGUUAAUGUAAUUUCUUUCACUGAGUCUCCUUUAGGCAGAAACAAGAUCUAUGUAGAUUGUAAGGAUGCAUCCAAACUUUGGAUACUUACCCUAAUCUUUUGACGCUUGUUCAUCAUGAAUAACAGCAGAGCUAUCUGAGCUUGAAGCUAUUGGAACUUGAUGCAACAACCUUGUCCCUUCUUACUAUUUGAUAAAUAUCAGUGUCUGACAUUUCUGGAUCUAGUAGUAUCAUGGAUGUAAGCAGGGUCUGAAUGAGUUCUCCCCUGACAUCUAGUGAUCCACCAGGGGGAAGAGACUUCAGGAACAGACCAUAGGUGCAUAGAUACACUUACUCUGCCUAGAUGGUCGGCAGUCAAAGCUGCUUUGCCAAAGUGAACAGUUUUGGCUGGUUUUUGGUUACUAUUCCCUUGAGUGCAGGGUAAUGAAAUGUUAUCCUCAUUGUAUGAGUAAAGGGCAGCAGAACUGUACUUAGUCUGCCUUGACUGAGGAUGUCACCCUAAACUGAACCUUACUUGCUAAGCAGGGAGUAGGGAUGGCAAAACCCAGUGAAAAUGAUGGGAAUAGUUGUUCCUAAAUAAUAAGUUCCAGACACUUUUUGUCCCUCCCAUCUCCAGUGUUUAAAGACAGAGCUGUUUUGUUUCAUGGUCUCUGUGUGUAUAUAAUGUCUUCUGCAGUUUCCACGAUAUGCUAUGCAUCCGAUGAAGUGAGCUGUAGCUCACGAAAGCUCAUGCUCAAAUAAACUGGUUAGUCUCUAAGGUGCCACAAGUACUCCUUUUCUUUUUAGCUGAGUCCUUGUUACUGUUCAGCGAUUACUAGAGCUGAAAUCACUGACGAGCAGGGUGGGGAUAACCCUUAAAUCUGGUGCGGGGUCAGUGUUGCACUGAAAGACAACAAAGAGGCAAUAGCACAGAGCAAUCACUAAGUGCUUGCGAGUGGGAAAAUACUGCUUCUCAAAAGGCACUCCAGUAUAGUGUUCAGUUUUCCCAGAUUACUGGGGGGAUGCUGAGGAUGAUUCUGUUUCUAAGGGCAAGUCUACACUAUGGCAGGGAUCAACGCUCUGAGAUCGAUCCACCGGCAGUCAAUUUAGUGGGUCUAGUAAAGACCUGCCAAAUCGACUGCAGAUCACUCUCCGGUAUUCUUCUCGCCGAGAGUAGAGUACUGGAAAGGUAAGUCGACGGGAGAUUUUCUCCCAUUGACCCCCCUGGGAUGUAGACCCCACGGUAACUCGACCUAAGGUACGUCGACUCCAGCUACAUUAUUCACAUAGCUGGAGUUGCAUAGCAUAAGUCGACUUACCGCAGUAGUGUAGACAUAGCCUUAUUGUUAAGAGGAAUGCCUUGGAAUUGAACCCGGCCCUUGUUGCUGUGGACUCCACGUGGCAGAAGGGCUACAUACAGGUAUUAACUCGAGCAGAGGUCCAUGUGACCCAUAGCCCAGAUGUUAGAUUCAAACAUCUGAGUAUUUCUCAGUGAAUUUGACUUAUGUUAAUACUACUUGGGUGGGACAGAUAACAUUUAAAAGGAACAUAGUUCUCAAAGCCAUUUCCCUAGAGACACAAAUGUCAAGGGAUUUCACUGACUAGUAGUGUAUAACAGGUUUGUGAGCAACAAAAAUAAUUAUUAAUACAUAAAAAUGGAAAGCCCAGUCUUCAAAAUCUUGCUUUGUGGCCUGGGGAAGCCUGAUAUAUACAUAGGUUCAGAUCGCAAUACGAUUUGUUACUGCUCAACAAGGCUUGACAAAUGUGAAGAGGGUGCUAGCAGUGUGAGCUAUUGAAAAGUGUCAUCAGUUCUGCUAAAGCUUAGGUGCCGACUAAAAAUGGUGGGUGCUCUGCACCCACUGGCAGCUCCCCACCCCAGCUCACCUCUGCCUCCUCUCCGCCUCCUCCCCUGAGCGCGCCGCUGGGUCCUGCUUCUCCCCACUCUCUCCCAGCGCUUGCUCCGUGAAAGAGCUGUUUCGCGCGGAAAGCCAGGGAG